rnacentral:rRNA from 1 species
GUGGGGAAUCUUGCGCAAUGGGCGAAAGCCUGACGCAGCCAUGCCGCGUGAAUGAUGAAGGUCUUAGGAUUGUAAAAUUCUUUCACCGGGGACGAUAAUGACGGUACCCGGAGAAGAAGCCCCGGCUAACUUCGUGCCAGCAGCCGCGGUAAUACGAAGGGGGCUAGCGUUGCUCGGAAUUACUGGGCGUAAAGGGCGCGUAGGCGGACAGUUUAGUCAGAGGUGAAAGCCCAGGGCUCAACCUUGGAAUUGCCUUUGAUACUGGCGGUCUUGAGUACGGGAGAAGUGAGUGGAACUCCGAGUGUAGAGGUGAAAUUCGUAGAUAUUCGGAAGAACACCAGUGGCGAAGGCGACUCACUGGCCCGUUACUGACGCUGAGGCGCGAAAGCGUGGGGAGCAAACAGGAUUAGAUACCCCAGUAGUCC